GGUUGUUUAUUGUCAAUAGUUCUGUUUAAAUUAAUCUAACGCGUUAAUUAAUUGUUUAUAUUAAAAUAUUUUUGUUGCAUAUUAUUAAGAAAAUGUUAAUUUAUAUUUGUAUAUAAAAUAUUUAUGAAAAGUGUUUUGUAAAUUAGUAAAAAAAGUUGUUAGAACAGUUUCAAAACCGAAAAAGAACAAAUUUGCCAAAUAUUGUAAAGGCGGUCACAGUUUUCUGUUUCCAGAGCCAUGCGUAAGCAGACAAACAGUGGAUGAGUUAUGGACAGAAAAAGAAUGUUGUUCAAUGGGAGUGCAAGUAUAUGCAAGUGAAGCAUUACUGAAUACUAUGUUGUUGUUGGCGGCAAAAUGUGAAAAAAAAGUAAUAGUGUUUUUUGCUGUAAAAUGACAACAACAACAAAAGAUCUAAACAGUGAUGGCUAAUUUGGUAGCAAAUACUUUUUGUAAAACUAUCAAGAGUUUUUUUAUGCCAAUGAUGACUGAUUUAACCUUGAGUGUAUAAAAGUUCCAUUUUUUGCUUAAACUUAAUAUGAUUUUUUAUUACAACAUUAUUAACACUCACAUAAAAUUAACGAAAAGAAGUGUGAAAAAUACUAAUAUGACGGAAAGCAGGAAGGACUUGUAGAGGAGGUGGGUCGAUGGCAGGACAAAAUGACAAAACGUUUAAUGGAAGGAAAGUUAAGUUAAAAGUGAAAGGAAGGGAAAGGAAGAAAAGAUAAUGAUGGCAAAAAAGA